AUUGAACGCUGGCGGCAGGCCUAACACAUGCAAGUCGAGCGGAUGAAGGGAGCUUGCUCCUGGAUUCAGCGGCGGACGGGUGAGUAAUGCCUAGGAAUCUGCCUGGUAGUGGGGGAUAACGUCCGGAAACGGGCGCUAAUACCGCAUACGCCCUGAGGGAGAAAGUGGGGGAUCUUCGGACCUUACGCUAUCAGAUGAGCCUAGGUCGGAUUAGCUAGUUGGUGGGGUAAAGGCCUACCAAGGCGACGAUCCGUAACUGGUCUGAGAGGAUGAUCAGUCACACUGGAACUGAGACACGGUCCAGACUCCUACGGGAGGCAGCAGUGGGGAAUAUUGGACAAUGGGCGAAAGCCUGAUCCAGCCAUGCCGCGUGUGUGAAGAAGGUCUUCGGAUUGUAAAGCACUUUAAGUUGGGAAGAAGGGCAGUAAGUUAAUACCUUGCUGUUUUGACGUUACCAACAGAAUAAGCACCGGCUAACUUCGUG
rnacentral:rRNA from 1 species